rnacentral:rRNA from 1 species
AGUGAACGCUGGCGGCAGGCCUAAUACAUGCAAGUCGAACGGCAGCACAGUGGAGCUUGCUCCAUGGGUGGCGAGUGGCGGACGGGUGAGGAAUACAUGGGAAUCUGCCCAGUCGUGGGGGAUAACGUAUGGAAACGUACGCUAAUACCGCAUGCGCCCUUCGGGGAAAGUCGGGGACCGCAAGGCCUGACGCGAUUGGAUGAGCCCAUGUUCGAUUAGCUAGUUGGCGGGGUAACGGCCCACCAAGGCGACGAUCGAUAGCUGGUCUGAGAGGAUGAUCAGCCACACUGGAACUGAGACACGGUCCAGACUCCUACGGGAGGCAGCAGUAGGGAAUAUUGGACAAUGGGCGCAAGCCUGAUCCAGCCAUGCCGCGUGAGUGAAGAAGGCCCUCGGGUUGUAAAGCUCUUUGUUGGGGAAAAAGCAGUUGGUUAAUACCCGAUUGUUCUGACGGUACCCAAAGAAUAAGCACCGGCUAACUUCGUG